AGCAUUUGGACCCCAGCCCUUCACUGGAACACACACACACACGCACAUGCAUGUACACACACAUACACACACAUGCAUGCACACAUCACUCUGCACAUACCACACCACACACACGCGCACACACAUACCACUCUGCACAGACUCUGAGCAGUCCGAAAGUCCCCGUGGACCCUUUGGUUCACACAGCCCUGGAGGGGAUGGGGAAGGACCCACCUAGCCUUGCAGAGGCAGAAUGACUCUUGCCAGUCAGGAAUUCCUACAGCGGGUUGCAUCAUUCACAUAACAUUAGCAGCCAUCAAAGGCUAAAGAGCAGCCCCCAAAAAGGAGAGGCUCAGUGGCCACAAUGGCUGUGGCCCUCACUUCCGCACUGUGCAGAGGGCCCUAGGGGCCCUGGCCUCCGGGCCUGAGCUCAAGGCCACCACGGUAGUGUCCCAUCAGAAACGUAUGACAUCCUGCUGCUCCUGCUCCGUCCUGAGGUGGCACCCCCCAGUUUUCUGGGUGUACACAUCCAUCUAAGCUUGGCUGGUGGGCGUCUGCCCAGAUGAGGGGGCCAAGGACCCAACUCUGCACAACAGCAAAUGCAUUCAGGGAGGGCCACUGGGACCUCCAGGAGCUGCUGAGAUACCACCCAAGUCCCAGGCGUGUGCAGGACUCAUGGGGCCAGAGGCAUAAUUUCACUCUUGUUGCCCAGGCUGGAGUGCAAUGGUGUGUGUGAUCUCAGCUCACUGCAACCUCCACCUCCCCGGUUCAAGCAAUUCUCCUGCCUCAACCUCCCAAGUAGCUGCUAUUACAGAUGCAGCUGGAAUCAAAGUCCCACCAAGGGGAGGAGACAGGGACCCCAAAGGCACCUGCUAUCUUUAUCAAUAGAGAACAGACAAUAAUGGGACACCAGUGCUGUGGAAUGGUGUGCAGGCGUUUGAAGGAGGGAGGUCAGGCCACACAGGCUGUCCUGGAAAGGCAUCCAGGCAAGAAUACAGAUGUGAUGGCUGGAGGUCCAGCAGCUAUCAUGGACCCUGAAGUGAUCUGGAGGCUAGACAUCACACCCUAAGAAUGGCAGAGCUGAAAGGCAGAGGAAACAUGAGUCUCUGGUGAUACUAUGAAGCUUCUAGUCCAGCCCUGAACACAAUAAAAGUUUUUCUUUCUCAGGGUCUCUACAGGGAGACAAGAGGGGUAUUCUUCUUAUCUAUGUCACCGAUGGGCUGAUGCUGAUGGAGUAACCACCAUGUUGAACAUCACUCUAUUAGAGCCCUGGAGGGUACUGGUAACUAAAUAUUUAGCCUGGAUGUCAAAUCACUUCUACUCAUUGGCCAGAACUAGCCCCAUGGCUCCGUCUAAUCAAUGGUAAGACAGCCAGGAAAUGUCAUCCUGCCAAGUACCCAGAAGGCAGGGAGCAGAAGGAGGUCCAGUGAUCAUCAUUAAGAAAUCAAGUUGGGGCUGGGCGUGGUGGCUCACGCUUGUAAUCCCACCACUGUGAGAGGCCAA